rnacentral:rRNA from 1 species
GAUGAACGCUGGCGGCGUGCUUAACACAUGCAAGUCGAACGAUGAAGCCCAGCUUGCUGGGUGGAUUAGUGGCGAACGGGUGAGUAACACGUGAGUAACCUGCCCUUAACUCUGGGAUAAGCCUGGGAAACUGGGUCUAAUACCGGAUAGGAGCGUCCACCGCAUGGUGUGUGUUGGAAAGAUUUAUCGGUUUUGGUUGGACUCGCGGCCUAUCAGCUUGUUGGUGAGGUAAUGGCUCACCAAGGCGACGACGGGUAGCCGGCCUGAGAGGGUGACCGGCCACACUGGGACUGAGACACGGCCCAGACUCCUACGGGAGGCAGCAGUGGGGAAUAUUGCACAAUGGGCGCAAGCCUGAUGCAGCGACGCCGCGUGAGGGAUGACGGCCUUCGGGUUGUAAACCUCUUUCAGUAGGGAAGAAGCGAAAGUGACGGUACCUGCAGAAGAAGCACCGGCUAACUACGUG